rnacentral:rRNA from 1 species
GACGAACGCUGGCGGCGUGCCUAAUACAUGCAAGUCGAACGAAGCUGUUUUAACUGGUGCUUGCACCGACUUAAACAACUGAGUGGCGAACGGGUGAGUAACACGUGGGUAACCUGCCCCAAAGCGGGGGAUAACAUUUGGAAACAGAUGCUAAUACCGCAUAACCACAGAAACCACAUGGUUUCUGUGUCAAAGAUGGUUUCGGCUAUCACUUUGGGAUGGACCCGCGGCGUAUUAGCUAGUUGGUAAGGUAAUGGCUUACCAAGGCAAUGAUACGUAGCCGAACUGAGAGGUUGAUCGGCCACAUUGGGACUGAGACACGGCCCAAACUCCUACGGGAGGCAGCAGUAGGGAAUCUUCCACAAUGGACGAAAGUCUGAUGGAGCAACGCCGCGUGAGUGAAGAAGGUUUUCGGAUCGUAAAACUCUGUUGUAAGGGAAGAACAAGUACAGUAGUAACUGGCUGUACCUUGACGGUACCUUAUUAGAAAGCCACGGCUAACUACGUGCCAGCCGCCGCAGUAA